rnacentral:lncRNA from 1 species
CAAGCAGAUUUCAAAGAAACUGAGUGCAAUUACAAGAAAAUGUGUCCUUCUCACUGAUUCUUUCUAGGGACUAAUUGGGCUCCAUACUGCAUAACAUCUAUAAAUGUGAAAGGAACCGGAUUAUUCCACUCACACGGACAGGUUGUCAUCUAGAGGCCGAGACUGAUACUUUGGACUGAGAGAAAGCAGAACUUCACCUUACUGCCCUUGACCCAGCUGGCUUUGAGACAAUGAGACCCAGAGCACCUCAGACACAUUUACAGAGGACCUCGAGACACAUUUACCUCGCCCUGCUGUUUCCCCAAAGCCAGGUGCUACAAUCCUCACCCUGCAUGGUGAGGGAAGACUGCCUGUUUUAGUAUAAAUCUCCCCUCUUCGUAUGGAUGCAGCCAUAAAGAAGCCAAUCCAGAAGCAUAAAAUGGAAAAGGUAUUAUUAUUAUUAUCAUCAUUAUCAUUAUUAUUAUUAUCAUU